rnacentral:rRNA from 1 species
AUACGUAGGGUGCAAGCGUUAAUCGGAAUUACUGGGCGUAAAGCGUGCGCAGGCGGUUUUGUAAGACAGUGGUGAAAUCCCCGGGCUCAACCUGGGAACUGCCAUUGUGACUGCAAGGCUGGAGUGCGGCAGAGGGGGAUGGAAUUCCGCGUGUAGCAGUGAAAUGCGUAGAUAUGCGGAGGAACUCCGAUGGCGAAGGCAAUCCCCUAGGCCUGCACUGACGCUCAUGCGCGAAAGCGUGGGGAGCAAACAGGAUUAGAUACCCUGGUAGUCCACGCCCUAAACGAUGUCAACUGGUUGUUGGGGAUUUAUUUUCUCAGUAACGAAGCUAACGCGUGAAGUUGACCGCCUGGGGAGUACGGCCGCAAGGUUAAAACUGAAAGGAAUUGACGGGG